AUAUCAACCACUAUAUCAUCUUGUAGUAUUCAAUUUGAGCAUGUUAUAUUACUUAUUGGACGUGAAUUAAUAAUACUAUAAAAUCGUCACAACUAGUGGCAUUUAAUAUUUUUGUAUUGCAACAACAAUAAUAUGAACUACAUUUAUUUGCCGUGUUGAUGAUUAUCUUUCACUGGUGCAGAUCUUAUAUGUUAUUAGACCUAGCAUUCAUGUCUUGUUUCUCGUAUUCGUGUCGUUUUCGUGUCAUACCCGAUAACUUAAUGAGUCGUGUCGUUUAAUACCUGUUAAAGUAAACGGGUAAAAUGACCCGACCCAAAAUUAACCCGUUAAUAUUAUCAGGUAAUAUGACUCGACCCGUUAUUCGUUAAGAAAAAUAUAUUUUAAAUCAAUAAAAAUGAAAAUGAACAUAAUUUGACCAAAAAAAUGUAAAACAUAAUACUAAAUUAGUAUAUACAUACUAAAUUUCAGAGUUGACCCCUUCGUGAAAGUUAUAAAGCUUUUUAUUACGAGUGAUUACAUUUUUCACACUUCUACAAUAAUUAUGAUUAAUUUUAUUAAUUUUGCACUCAAAUAAAAAACAUUGUUCAUGAGUUUUGGAGGGUUUUAAAAAUCUAAACGACCAUGUAACCAUCGUCUAAGCGUUAAGGAUGCAAUUAUGAAUGUUUAUUAUGCUUUCACAUCUUUCAGACUUAUACAUUAAUGAUUAUGAAUUUUGUUUAUUUUGAACCCCCUUAAAAAUACUAUUCAUGAGAGUUUGUAUGGUUUUAAAAAUUCACACGAUCAUAUACCCAUCCUCAAAGCGUAGAGGAUCAACUACAAGCGUUUGCAUAUUUUUGGCACAUGUAAAUUUGUUGGUACCAUAUAUUGGGCCUCGUCUUUGGGCUUCAUCCCUAAGCCCAUGAUUUAUGUAAAAGGGAGGGAGCCCUUAUUUUAUAAAAGGGACUCUCCCUCACCCUCAUUAAGAGAGCCUGACAUCCAGAGAAAUAGAGUCUGAUCCCUCACAACAAUAGAGGGCAAUACCCUCUCAGCCAAACAGAAAGCAAAAUGGCAAGGGUUGCAGAGAGCUCCCUUGCCGAUCUAUUGUAAUCUAUACAUACAUACAGUGAAUCAGAAUCAACAUCAGUGUAGACGUAGCUUAAACAUUGGAAUGAACCACGAUACAUCUUUGUGUUCU
rnacentral:lncRNA from 1 species